CACGUAGUUAGCCGGGGCUUCUUAGUCAGGUACCGUCAUUCUCUUCCCUGCUGAUAGAGCUUUACAUACCGAAAUACUUCUUCACUCACGCGGCGUUGCUGCAUCAGGGUUUCCCCCAUUGUGCAAUAUUCCCCACUGCUGCCUCCCGUAGGAGUUUGGGCCGUGUCUCAGUCCCAAUGUGGCCGGCCACCCUCUCAGGUCGGCUACUGAUCGUCGCCUUGGUGGGCCGUUACCUCACCAACCAGCUAAUCAGACGCGGGUCCAUCUCAUACCACCGGAGUUUUUCACACCGGACCAUGCGGUCCUGUGCGCUUAUGCGGUAUUAGCAGUCAUUUCUAACUGUUAUCCCCCUGUAUGAGGCAGGUUACCCACGCGUUACUCACCCGUCCGCCGCUCAGUCAUACACGCUUCCAUCCGAAAACUUCCACAUCUAUGCUUCGCUCGACUUGCAUGUGUUAAGCACGCCGCCAGCGUUCAUCCUGAGCCAGGAUA
rnacentral:rRNA from 1 species